rnacentral:lncRNA from 1 species
GUGGAGAUUCUAGGAGAGGUCUCUAAUUUCUGUCAGUUCAGAAUAGAGGCGCUGCAUCUCAAGGGUCAUCUUGGCAUGUCGAAAUUGACCACCACACAUCGAAGGGACAUUGGUAGCAGUGCCUCAACUUCUGGAGGCAGCCCAAGCCUCUGCUUCAUAGCACAAAGUACGAAUGGUGAAAAUACAUCUCAAUUUUGACUGAGAAUGAAGAAGUCCGACCGCUCUACUAAGUAGCAUCACAUGAGAUACCUCUAUCUCUCAGAACUUUUCCAAUGCUCAUCAUGUUUUUAAGCACUGAUCAGUGAAAAAAACUGAAGUCCAUUUUUUCUAGAACCUGAUCACCACCUGU